rnacentral:rRNA from 1 species
GACGAACGCUGGCGGCGUGCUUAACACAUGCAAGUCGAACGGAAAGGCCCUGCUUUUGUGGGGUGCUCGAGUGGCGAACGGGUGAGUAACACGUGAGUAACCUGCCCUUGACUUUAGGAUAACUUCAGGAAACUGGGGCUAAUACCGGAUAGGAGCUCCUGCUGCAUGGUGGGGGUUGGAAAGUUUCGGCGGUUGGGGAUGCACUCGCGGCUCAUCAGCUUGUUGGUGGGGUCGUGGCUUACCAAGGCUUUGACGGGUAGCCGGCCUGAGAGGGUGACCGGCCACAGUGGGACUGAGAUACGGCCCAGACUCCUACGGGAGGCAGCAGUGGGGAAUAUUGCACAAUGGGCGGAAGCCUGAUGCAGCAACGCCGCGUGCGGGAUGACGGCCUUCGGGUUGUAAACCGCUUUCGCCUGUGACGAAGCGUGAGUGACGGUAAUGGGUAAAGAAGCACCGGCUAACUACGUG